rnacentral:rRNA from 1 species
UAGGAAAUAUUGGACAAUGGGCGCAAGCCUGAUCCAGCCAUGCCGCGUGAGUGAUGAAGGCCUUAGGGUUGUAAAGCUCUUUUAGCAGGGAAGAUAAUGACGGUACCUGCAGAAAAAGCCCCGGCUAACUUCGUGCCAGCAGCCGCGGUAAUACGAAGGGGGCUAGCGUUGCUCGGAAUUACUGGGCGUAAAGCGCACGUAGGCGGACUCUUAAGUCGGUGGUGAAAUCCUGGAGCUCAACUCCAGAACUGCCUUCGAUACUGGGAGUCUUGAGUUCGGGAGAGGUGAGUGGAACUGCGAGUGUAGAGGUGAAAUUCGUAGAUAUUCGCAAGAACACCAGUGGCGAAGGCGGCUCACUGGCCCGAUACUGACGCUGAGGUGCGAAAGCGUGGGGAGCAAACA